GAUGAACGCUGGCGGCGUGCCUAAGACAUGCAAGUCGAACGCCCCGCAAGGGGAGUGGCAGACGGGUGAGUAACACGUGGGAACGCACCCUUUGGUUCGGAAUAACUUGGGGAAACUCAAGCUAAUACCGGAUAAGCCCUUAUGGGGAAAGGUUUACUGCCGAAGGAUCGGCCCGCGUCUGAUUAGCUAGUUGGUGAGGUAACGGCUCACCAAGGCGACGAUCAGUAGCUGGUCUGAGAGGAUGAUCAGCCACACUGGGACUGAGACACGGCCCAGACUCCUACGGGAGGCAGCAGUGGGGAAUAUUGGACAAUGGGGGCAACCCUGAUCCAGCCAUGCCGCGUGAGUGAUGAAGGCCUUAGGGUUGUAAAGCUCUUUUACCCGGGACGAUAAUGACUGUACCGGGAGAAUAAGCCCCGGCUAACUUCGUGCCAGCCGCCGCAGUAA
rnacentral:rRNA from 1 species